UGGGGAAUAUUGCACAAUGGGCGCAAGCCUGAUGCAGCAACGCCGCGUGAGGGAUGACGGCCUUCGGGUUGUAAACCUCUUCUAGCAGGGAAGAAGCGAAAGUGACGGUACCUGCAGAAAAAGCGCCGGCUAACUACGUGCCAGCAGCCGCGGUAAUACGUAGGGCGCAAGCGUUAUCCGGAAUUAUUGGGCGUAAAGAGCUCGUAGGCGGUUUGUCGCGUCUGCUGUGAAAUCCCGAGGCUCAACCUCGGGUCUGCAGUGGGUACGGGCAGACUAGAGUGCGGUAGGGGAGAUUGGAAUUCCUGGUGUAGCGGUGGAAUGCGCAGAUAUCAGGAGGAACACCGAUGGCGAAGGCAGAUCUCUGGGCCGUAACUGACGCUGAGGAGCGAAAGGGUGGGGAGCAAACAGGCUUAGAUACCCUGGUAGUCCAUGCCGUAAACGUUGGGCACUAGGUGUGGGUCCAUUCCACGGAUUCCGUGCCGCAGCAAACGCAUUAAGUGCCCCGCCUGGGGAGUACGGCCGCAAGGCU
rnacentral:rRNA from 1 species